AAAAGUUAAAUUUGUAUGGAGUUGGCAGAGCUUCCCUUCGCUGCCGCUGGGGGCGCUGUUUCAACUCCAUACUAAUUUGAGUUA
rnacentral:pre_miRNA from 1 species